UAUCCCUGGACAGUCAGUGCUCUCUGUAUAAUACAGGGUUGUGUGUAUGAUAAAUUGGGACACUCAGUGCUCCCUGUAUAGUGCUGCUCUCUGUAUAAUACAGGUCUGUUUGUGUAUAAUAUCCCAAGACAGGGAGCAGCACUAUACAGGGAGCACUGACUGUCCCGGGAUAUUAUACAGGCACAGGCCUGUAUUAUACAGAGAGCAGCACUAUACAG